UUGAUCAAAUCUAUAAAUUUUUAAAAAAUGUAAAAAUUAUUUGAUACUUCGUUUCAUUAAUUCAAAUCAAUAGAUACAAUAAUUUUUGUGAUUAUCUGACAAUUUGAAUUAAUGAAAUGAAGUAUCAAAUGAUUUUUAAAUUUUUUAAAAAUUUGCAAACUUAAUCUA
rnacentral:miRNA from 1 species